UACGGAGGGUGCGAGCGUUGUUCGGAAUCACUGGGCGUAAAGGGCGUGUAGGCGGUCUGUUAAGUCUGAUGUGAAAGCCCGGGGCUCACCCCCGGAAGUGCAUUGGAUACUGGCGGACUCGAGUCCCGGAGAGGAGGGUGGAAUUCCUGGUGUAGCGGUGAAAUGCGUAGAUAUCAGGAGGAACAUCAGUGGCGAAGGCGGCUGCCUGGCCCAAUACUGACACUCAGGUGCGACAGCGUGGGGAGCAAACAGG
rnacentral:rRNA from 1 species